UCUAAUAUGGCAGAUUAGUGCAAUGAAUUUAAGCUUCAUAUAUAAAGUACUUUACUUUUAUUAGAA
rnacentral:tRNA from 1 species